rnacentral:rRNA from 1 species
CUGCGAAUGGCUCAUUAUAUCAGUUAUAGUUUAUUUGAUGAAGAAUACUAAUUGGAUAACCGUAGUAAUUCUAGAGCUAAUACAUGUAUAAAGUCUUGUAGACUGCAUUUAUUAGAAUGAAAACCAUAGGUUUCGGCCUAUUCGUGAGUAAUAAUAACUAAUCAUAUCGUAUGCUUAUGUAACGAUGUGUCUUUCAAGUUUCUGCCCUAUCAGCUUUCGAUGUAGUGGAUUGGACUACCAUGGCAGUAACGGGGUAACGAAGAAA